UAAAGGGCUGCAGUAUUUUGACUGUACAAAGGUAGCAUAAUCAUUAGUCUCUUAAAUGGUGACUUGUAUGAAAGAUUGGAUGAAAUAUAAGCUGUCUCUUAAUUAUAUAUAGAAUUUAAUUUUUUAAUUAAAAAGUUAAAAUAAUUUUAAAAGACGAGAAGACCCUAUAGAGUUUUAUAAUUUAAUUAAUAUUAUUUAUAAAUAUAUAAUAAAUUAAAAUUAAUAAAAAUUAUUUUAUUGGGGUGAUAAAAAAAUUUAAUUAACUUUUUUUAAAUUUAAACAUAAAUAAAUGAAGUUUUUGAUCCAUUAAUAAUGAUUAAAAGAAAAAAUUACCUUAGGGAUAACAGCGUAAUUUUUUUUUUUAGUUCAAAUAA
rnacentral:rRNA from 1 species